UACGUAGGGUGCAAGCGUUGUCCGGAAUCACUGGGCGUAAAGGGCGCGUAGGCGGCCCGAUAAGUAGGGGGUGAAAUCUUGCGGCUCAACCGCAAGGCUGCCUUCUAGACUGUCGGGCUUGAGCACAGUAGAGGCAGGUGGAAUUCCCGGUGUAGCGGUGGAAUGCGUAGAGAUCGGGAAGAACAUCGGUGGCGAAGGCGGCCUGCUGGGCUGUUGCUGACGCUGAGGCGCGACAGCGUGGGGAGCAAACAGG
rnacentral:rRNA from 1 species